GCUACGGGUGGCUGCAGUGGGGAAUAUUGGACAAUGGGCGAAAGCCUGAUCCAGCCAUGCCGCGUGUGUGAAGAAGGCCUUCGGGUUGUAAAGCACUUUCAGUGGGGAAGAAAGCCUUGGGGCUAAUACCCUCGAGGAAGGACAUCACCCACAGAAGAAGCACCGGCUAACUCCGUGCCAGCAGCCGCGGUAAUACGGAGGGUGCGAGCGUUAAUCGGAAUUACUGGGCGUAAAGCGCGCGUAGGCGGUCUGAUAAGCCGGUUGUGAAAGCCCCGGGCUCAACCUGGGAACGGCAUCCGGAACUGUCAGGCUAGAGUGCAGGAGAGGAAGGUAGAAUUCCCGGUGUAGCGGUGAAAUGCGUAGAGAUCGGGAGGAAUACCAGUGGCGAAGGCGGCCUUCUGGACUGACACUGACGCUGAGGUGCGAAAGCGUGGGUAGCAAACAGGAUUAGAUACCCGUGUAGUC
rnacentral:rRNA from 1 species